CCUACGGGAGGCAGCAGUGAGGAAUAUUGGACAAUGGGCGCAAGCCUGAUCCAGCCAUGCCGCGUGCAGGAAGACGGUCCUAUGGAUUGUAAACUGCUUUUAUACAGGAAGAAACACACCCUCGUGAGGGAGCUUGACGGUACUGUAAGAAUAAGGAUCGGCUAACUCCGUGCCAGCAGCCGCGGUAAUACGGAGGAUCCAAGCGUUAUCCGGAAUCAUUGGGUUUAAAGGGUCCGUAGGCGGUUUAAUAAGUCAGUGGUGAAAUCUGGUCGCUCAACGAUCAAACGGCCAUUGAUACUGUUAGACUUGAAUUAUAAGGAAGUAACUAGAAUAUGUAGUGUAGCGGUGAAAUGCUUAGAUAUUACAUGGAAUACCAAUUGCGAAGGCAGGUUACUACUUAUGGAUUGACGCUGAUGGACGAAAGCGUGGGGAGCGAACAGGAUUAGAUACCCUGGUAGUCCACGCCGUAAACGAUGGAUACUAGCUGUUCGGAGCAAUCUGAGUGGCUAAGCGAAAGUGAUAAGUAUCCCACCUGGGGAGUACGUUCGCAAGAAUGAAACUUAAAGGAAUUGACGG
rnacentral:rRNA from 1 species